GGUGGAUUUAACAACAGAGCAGGGCAUGCUCAUAUAAAGGGUGAGUCAAAGUAAUCUGAAGAAUUGGGAAAUACAUCUUUGACGGCAUAUUAUGAAUGUCAAACAUUAUCAGGGUUAUUCACAAAGAUGUGAACUGUCACGAACGUUGGGGAAAUUUUCCAGGUCAGCUUUGUGUUCAGUCCAGCUAUUAAGUUAAAAUGAUUUUAAUUCCCAAUGAUUCACACUUUUGUGAAUUGCAUUAAAUGAUCCAGCGCAGGGAUUCAUUUACUAAAAUGAUUUUAAUUCCCAAUGAUUCACACUUUUGUGAAUUGCAUUAAAUGAUCCAGCGCAGGGAUUCAUUUACUAGCUAGGAGUGUGUCCAUCUAACUCAUUUUUCAAAUAGUGCAAAUUUCUAUAGAAAUUGGCUCUUUUAUAAAUUAACCUAGUUACUCCUCCCUGGCUAUCAAUCAGACAGCUGGUCCUGUUACUUCCUGGUUUGUUUAGCUCAGUGGAGCUAAACUCAAGA